AGAGGUCGAGUUAUAUGUGUUAAGGUAAAAAGGCAGUUAAAUAUAUUUUAUGGGUGUAGUUUAUUGAUUUUAUAUAUAAAAGUAAAAUUUGAAUAUAUAGAAAUAAGUCGAAAUAAACUAAAAAUAUUGAUUCUGCGACAGCCUUGAGGGAAACUGGGAUUAGAUACCCCAUUAUUCUUGGUUAUAAAUAAAUAUAAAUUUACCAGAGUACUAUGAAUUUUUAAAAUUUAAAACUCCAAGGGCUUGGCGGUGUUUUAGACUUUUCAGGGGAACUUGUCUCAUAAUCGAUAAUCCACGUUACACCUAACCUUCAUUUUGUAUUCAGUUUGUAUAUCGUCGUCGUCAGGUAACUUUUUAAAAUUUAGAAGUUAGCAAUAAAAAUUAAUAAUAAAUUUAGACGUCAGAUCAAGAUGCAGCUUAUAAGAAGGUGAAGAUGAGUUACAAUUAUAUAAGUAUAAUUACGAAUAAAUAAAUGAAAUUAAUUUUAAAGGAGGACUUGAAAGUAAAAUAAAUUAUAUAAAUAAUUUGAAUUGAGCUCUGAAACAUGC
rnacentral:rRNA from 1 species